GAUGAACGCUAGCGACAGGCUUAACACAUGCAAGUCGAGGGGCAGCACGGGAGUAGCAAUACAACUGGUGGCGACCGGCGCACGGGUGAAUGACGCGUAUGCAACUUACCUAUCAGAGGGGAAUAACCCGGCGAAAGUCGGACUAAUACCGCAUAAAACAGGGGCACCGCAUGGUGAUAUUUGUUAAAGAAAUUCGCUGAUAGAUGGGCAUGCGUUCCAUUAGGUAGUUGGUGAGGUAACGGCUCACCAAGCCGACGAUGGAUAGGGGAACUGAGAGGUUGGUCCCCCACACUGGUACUGAGACACGGACCAGACUCCUACGGGAGGCAGCAGUGAGGAAUAUUGGUCAAUGGGCGAGAGCCUGAACCAGCCAAGUCGCGUGAAGGAAGAAGGAUCUAUGGUUCGUAAACUUCUUUUGCAGGGGAAUAAAGUGCGGGACGUGUCCUGUUUUGUAUGUACCCUGAGAAUAAGGAUCGGCUAACUCCGUGCCAGCAGCCGCUGUAAAAC
rnacentral:rRNA from 1 species